rnacentral:rRNA from 1 species
CAAUAGCGUGUAUUAAUGUUGUUGCAGUUAAAAAGCUCGUAGUUGGAUUUCGGGGCGAAAAGGUGGGUCUGCCCUUUGGGUUUGUACUAGCCAGUUCGCCCUUUUGUCUGAGGACGGCAUUUGCUCUUCACUGAGUGAGUGUUUGACUCAGGCCAUUUACUUUGAGAAAAUUAGAGUGUUCAAAGCAGGCCAUUGCCUUGAAUACAUUAGCAUGGAAUAAUGAAAUAGGACUUCUGACCUAUUUUGUUGGUUUCUAGGACGGAAGUAAUGAUUAAUAGGGAUAGUUGGGGGCAUUAGUAUUUAAUUGUCAGAGGUGAAAUUCUUGGAUUUAUGAAAGACUAACUUCUGCGAAAGCAUUUGCCAAGGAUGUUUUCAUUAA